AGGUAGAAUAGAAAUUACAACAAAAAAAUCCUAACUAUAAUAGAAUACUGACAAAACUCUAAUUAGACCAUAAUAAUGCUAAACAAGCUUUAAUCAAAUUCAAAAAAACCUCAAAGAAAUUUCAAACAAAUAAUAAGAAUUCUUAAAGAAAUAUUAGAAUGAUCACAAAUAUUAUUCAAAUACAUCUCAACUCAAUCUUAAUUUAAUUCUAGUUAAAAUCCUAUUGAACUUCAUUUAAACUUUAGGCCAAAAUUAAUUAAAUCUUAAAUCCUAAUAAAAUCUUAAAUCCUAAAUCAA
rnacentral:lncRNA from 1 species